rnacentral:rRNA from 1 species
AGUGAACGCUGGCGGCAGGCCUAACACAUGCAAGUCGAACGGCAGCACAGUGGAGCUUGCUCCAUGGGUGGCGAGUGGCGGACGGGUGAGGAAUACAUCGGAAUCUGCCCAGUCGUGGGGGAUAACAUAGGGAAACUUAUGCUAAUACCGCAUACGACCUACGGGUGAAAGCGGGGGAUCGCAAGACCUCGCGCGAUUGGAUGAGCCGAUGUCCGAUUAGCUAGUUGGCGGGGUAAUGGCCCACCAAGGCGACGAUCGGUAGCUGGUCUGAGAGGAUGAUCAGCCACACUGGAACUGAGACACGGUCCAGACUCCUACGGGAGGCAGCAGUGGGGAAUAUUGGACAAUGGGCGCAAGCCUGAUCCAGCCAUGCCGCGUGGGUGAAGAAGGCCUUCGGGUUGUAAAGCCCUUUUGUCCGGAAAGAAACGCCUCGGAUUAAUACUCUGGGGUAAUGACGGUACCGGAAGAAUAAGCACCGGCUAACUUCGUGCCAGCCGCCGCAGUAA